rnacentral:rRNA from 1 species
GUAACAAGGUUUCCGUAGGUGAACCUGCGGAAGGAUCAUUACUGAAUGUAUUAUCAUUUUCUGUGAAUGUGCCUGGUAGCGAUACCAGGGAUUGCUUCGGCUUUGAAUUUAUCUUUGGAUUUAUCUUUGGAUUUACGUCAAGGCUGCUGGAAAACUCUUAAAACAUUGUCUAAACAAUUAUUAAAUAAUUAAAACUUUCAACAACGGAUCUCUAGGUUCUCGCAUCGAUGAAGAACGCAGCGAAAUGCGAUACGUAUUGUGAAUUGCAGAUUUUUGUGAAUCAUCGAAUCUUUGAACGCACAUUGCGCCUGGUGGUUAUUCCGCCAGGCAUGCCUGUUUGAGCGUCAUUUCUCUCUCACUAAUUUAUUAGGUGGUUUUGCUGGAUCUCUAAACUCCCCUGGGAGAAGUUAGAGCCCGGUGAAAAGAAAUGGCAUGGCUCUUGUUCCUGUUAACGUGUUCUAGGUUUUCCAACUACACUACUAGCGGAAUUUGAAGUCGGCUUGAUAACUCUUUCAACGUUGACCUCAAAUCAGGUAAGACUACCCGCCGAACUUAAG